rnacentral:snoRNA from 1 species
UAGACUGUACUUUCAGGGAUCAUUUCUGUAGUUGGUGACUAGAGAAGUGUAUCCAAAAGUGAUUGUCUAUGAACAUUUUUUCUAUGCAAUGU